GCUUAAAUAGUUUAAUUAAAAUGCUGGUUUGUGGGUCCAGUGAUAUAGGCUUCUAUUUUGAGCA
rnacentral:tRNA from 1 species